UUUAAUAUUAUGUAACACUUUGAUCUUAGGUAGCACUUGGUUGUAACACUUGGCUAUUUUUUUUUUAUUUAACGACAACCCCUUUUUUUCUGUUUAAAACCACUAUGUGAAUAAAAAAAAAUUAAAUAAAAAAUAGACCCUCACAGCGGCACUGUCUCCUAACUUUCUUCCUCCCUCGUCUCUUUACGCUGCGCCUCCUCGGCUUCCACCGUUACGACGCUACCCACUUUUCUUUCUUGAUGCUCUACUGCAGUCUGCAGUCCCCAAUCCCCAUAGCCCUAUCCACAGCAGCCUCCCUCCAUCGAUACUCGUUUUUUUAACUUGAAGACAUACACAACAACCCUCCAAGUUGAAGAGACAGCGAUUGCGACCUCCAAAGCCAUCGAUUGUAACCUCCUGGCCUCCAUCCUUGGAGGCUUCCUAAGGGUUAAGUGAACAUUCCACUGAUCUUUUCAAUAGACGACAGCAGAAAUACAAUCUUUUUUGUAGAAGUAAAAAACAAAGUGUUAGUCAUUAUUUACUUAAUAUGCACACGAACAUGAAGAAUAGUUCACUCGGUGCUCCCUCAUGGCUGUGUAAGCUGCUCCCCUACUGCCCUUAUUGUAUUGAGAUAACGGACCUAAUUUUCAUGAUUCUUUACAUUACAAUAAAAUAUACUCCAUAUUUUAAGAUCUCGGGCGAGCCACCUAUAGAAGAGAUCCUUGCCUCAAGAAGGAAUAAGGAUGAAAUGUGUAAUUUAAUGACUAGCAAAUCUUGCAUAAUGUGAAGAUUCCAAGAGCUUCAGGAAUGACCGGGAUGUCAUUAAUCCUUGCAGUUUAAAGCAGAGAAGCACCCCAAUAUACAUACAUAUUUCAUACUUAUGAAAUUAAAGUAGCUCAUGUAUACAUAAAGUUCUAUAUUGGAUAUUCAAAUGAAAUUUGAGAUCCAUAUUGUACAACUAAUAACAUUGCAUGCAUGAAGUAAACAUUUAUUGUUUACUCAUUGUUGGGUGUAUAUGGAUUUAUUAAUGAAAAUAUAUAAUUAU